AAGAGACAGCAGUCGCCGCGGGAAUACGGAGGAUCCAAGCGUUAUCCGGAAUCAUUGGGUUUAAAGGGUCCGUAGGCGGUCUUGUAAGUCAGUGGUGAAAGCCCAUCGCUCAACGGUGGAACGGCCAUUGAUACUGCAGGACUUGAAUUAUUGGGAAGUAACUAGAAUAUGUAGUGUAGCGGUGAAAUGCUUAGAGAUUACAUGGAAUACCAAUUGCGAAGGCAGGUUACUACCAAUUGAUUGACGCUGAUGGACGAAAGCGUGGGUAGCGAACAGGAUUAGAUACCCCCGUAGUCCCUGUCUCUUAUAC
rnacentral:rRNA from 1 species